rnacentral:rRNA from 1 species
AGGAUGAACGCUGGCGGCGUGCCUAAUACAUGCAAGUCGAGCGGUAAGGCUCCUUCGGGAGUACACGAGCGGCGGACGGCUGAGUAACGCGUAGGAACGUACCCCAAACUGAGGGAUAAGCACCAGAAAUGGUGUCUAAUACCGCAUGUGCUCUUCGGAGUAAAGCUUCGGCGGUUUGGGAACGGCCUGCGUCCGAUUAGCUUGUUGGUGAGGUAAUUGCUCACCAAGGCGAUGAUCGGUAGCUGGUCUGAGAGGAUGAUCAGCCAGACUGGGACUGAGAACGGCCCAGACUCCUACGGGAGGCAGCAGUAGGGGAAUUUUCCACAAUGGGCGAAAGCCUGAUGGAGCAACGCCGCGUGCAGGAUGAAUGCCUUAGGGUUGUAAAGCUCUUUCGCCCACGACGAUAAUGACGGUAGUGGGAGAAGAAGCCCCGGCUAACUUCGUGCCAGCAGCCGC